UACGUAGGGCGCAAGCGUUUGUCCGGAAUUAUUGGGCGUAAAGAGCUCGUAGGCGGUUUGUCGCGUCUGCUGUGAAAACCUAAGGCUCAACCUUGGGCUUGCAGUGGGUACGGGCAGACUAGAGUGCGGUAGGGGAGAUUGGAAUUCCUGGUGUAGCGGUGGAAUGCGCAGAUAUCAGGAGGAACACCGAUGGCGAAGGCAGAUCUCUGGGCCGUAACUGACGCUGAGGAGCGAAAGCAUGGGGAGCGAACAGG
rnacentral:rRNA from 1 species